rnacentral:rRNA from 1 species
UACGUAGGGGGCAAGCGUUGUCCGGAAUCAUUGGGCGUAAAGCGCGUGUAGGCGGCUCGGUAAGUCGGGUGUGAAAUUUCGAGGCUUAACUUCGAAACUGCAUUCGAUACUGCCGUGCUUGAGGACUGGAGAGGAGACUGGAAUUUACGGUGUAGCGGUGAAAUGCGUAGAUAUCGUAAGGAAGACCAGUGGCGAAGGCGGGUCUCUGGACAGUUCCUGACGCUGAGGCACGAAGGCCAGGGGGAGCAAAACGGGG